GCUCUGGUGUUCGGAAAGAAGAUUUAUUGAUGUUAAAUUUAUAGGCAGAGUA
rnacentral:tRNA from 1 species